AUUGAACGCUGGCGGCAGGCCUAACACAUGCAAGUCGAGCGGAUGAAGGGAGCUUGCUCCUGGAUUCAGCGGCGGACGGGUGAGUAAUGCCUAGGAAUCUGCCUGGUAGUGUGGGAUAACGUCCGGAAACGGGCGCUAAUACCGCAUACGUCCUGAGGGAGAAAGUGGGGGAUCUUCGGACCUCACGCUAUCAGAUGAGCCUAGGUCGGAUUAGCUAGUUGGUGGGGUAAAGGCCUACCAAGGCGACGAUCCGUAACUGGUCUGAGAGGAUGAUCAGUCACACUGGAACUGAGACACGGUCCAGACUCCUACGGGAGGCAGCAGGGGGGAAUAUUGGACAAUGGGCGAAAGCCUGAUCCAGCCAUGCCGCGUGUGUGAAGAAGGUCUUCGGAUUGUAAAGCACUUUAAGUUGGGAGGAAGGGCAGUAAGUUAAUACCUUGCUGUUUUGACGUUACCAACAGAAUAAGCACCGGCUAACUUCGUG
rnacentral:rRNA from 1 species